CUUCGAUGGAGUUAAUGCUAAGAACUUUUAGGAGGAAUCUGCAGUGGGUGAAGCAAACUAGAGUAACCUAGUUGGUUCACAGUUGAAAGCAUACCCAUAUUAGCUAGAACUCAUGUUAUAAUGGCUGAUAAACUUUGUGCGCGUAAAGCUAUGAAGCAUAUUCGUUCCGUAAUAUAAUAUAAUGCGCGUCGGGAGUGUCGUGAUAGUUUCGUGUGUAAUGUCGCAGCUUGGACAGUUCGAUUUAAUUCGGCUGCGACAUCGGGAGUGCCGUUUAAAGUGUCACGCGAUUUUCGCAUUCGAGUACGCGCGCGAGCAAUGCGUGCGCCGCGAUUGUGUGUGAGUGUCCCGAAGGAUCGCUGAGAGGAGGAGGAGGAGGAGAUUUAAAAGGCAUCGGACGACAGCAGAGCAACGGAUCUCAGCGGGAAUGCGAGCUUCUGAACCUAUAUUCAACGUACGCUUGCAUUUGUGGCGUUUGGCGGCGAACGCAAGCAGCUGAGAUUCGGGACGAGAGGGAAUUAAAGCAAGACGAACGGGCGA